GCAACUCAUGCUGGGCAGCUUCCAGUUCGUGCUCAAGUGCAACAUGGGUUGCAGCUAGCCGCUGGUUAUCAGCCAACAAACCUUGAAUGUCUUGAUUUUGGGCAGCAAGACGCUCCUCCAUUGUUGCAGGAUGAGAAGGAAGCUGCCUGGGAUCUAUCCGAUAUUGGAUUUCUCUUUUUUCCUCCAGUAGGACUGGAUGGGGUCGCAUUGUUCCAAGCCCUCUGCCAAAGUGUGGUUCAUGGAUGGCAGGCGGUAGGCCAGCAUGAGGUAAGCCUUUCAGAGGAAAAGGAGGCCCACGAUUUCUCCUGGAGAUUCUCUCUUAAAGAUUCAAUGAUCUUAAAGUUCAGUUCUUAAAGAACUAAUUCCGAUAACUUUCUGAUCCAACCUGGACAUGAUGAAAGUCCAAUGAGAGAACUGUAAGCGAAAAACUAAGCUAAGCAAUAAAAGAAUCAUUUAAGCAUCUACCCACUCACACGCAUACACAGAAUCAACUCGAUUUCACACUCACACGUAUCAAACACAAAGUUGUUUACAUAAGAACUGAAAUGUUGGAGAG
rnacentral:misc_RNA from 1 species